CUGUGCCUCAUCGUCCCGCCGCGGGACAUCGGGCAGGCAGCUGGCACCAUGAAGAUCUGGACUUCGGAGCACGUCUUUGACCACCCAUGGGAAAUGGUUACCACAGCUGCAAUGCAGAAAUACCCAAACCCCAUGAACCCAAGCGUGGCGUUGACGUAUUGGACAGACAUGUCAAUCCCUCUGGAAAGCUGCACAGCCAUAGACUCCUCAGCACAGAGUGGGGCCUGCCUUCCAUUGUGAAGUCCCUUAUUGGUGCUGCAAGAACAAAAACGUACGUGCAAGAGCAUUCUGUAGUUGACCCGGUAAGAAAGACAAUGGAGCUCAAGUCCACUAACAUCUCAUUUACAAAUAUGGUCUCCGUAGACGAGAGGCUCACAUACAGGCCGCACACCCAGGACCCAGAGAAAACUGCCCUGACCCAGGAAGCCAUCAUACCGUGAAAGGGGUCAGCCUCAGCAGCUACCUUGAACGACUCAUGGCAAGCACCAUAUCUUCCAAUGCUAACAAAGGCUGAGAAGCAAUGGAAUGGGUGAUACACAAACUGAACGCCGAAAUUGAAGAAUUGACAGCAUCAGCAAGAGGAAGCAUAAGGACACCAAUGGCGAUACAGAUGAUUGAAAGGAAGUCUCCUCCCGCCCCCAGUGCCCAAUGCACAAUGACAAGCCAAUGA